rnacentral:snoRNA from 1 species
GAGUCUAUGAUGACAAACAUAAAGACAGGUGAUGACAUAAAAAUCAUGUUCAGGUUCCGGCUGCUGAGGCCC